GCGGGAAAACGUAUUUUGUGUUUUGGCGGAAAAUUGCGUUUUGGGGUUUUGGCGUAAAAACGCGUUUUUGUGAUUUUGGCAUGAACACACGUUUUUACGAUUUUUUUGCUGGAAAACACGUUUUUGCCAUUUUGGCGGAAAAACACAUUUUUGCAAUUUUGUCCGGAAAUGCGUUUUUUUAGGGUUUUGGCGUAAAAAAAUUGUUUUUAGGUUUUCGCGGGAAAAUGCGUUUUUGUGGUUUUGUCAGUUUUCGUGUGUAACAAAAUGAUAUUAUGUUUAGGUUUGUAAUUUGUGAAUUACACCAGGGGCAUAAUA
rnacentral:lncRNA from 1 species